rnacentral:hammerhead_ribozyme from 1 species
AUGCAGCUGACAAGUGUCAAAUAGGACGAAACGCGUGUCCCGGAU